GGAUUAACGAGCAUUUAGCCAUUGUCUACGAGGACGGACUGCACGAGAAACGAGGAGGGUAGUUGCACGAGCCUCUCUCAUUGGCAGCUGUAAGAGCAGGUGUCAUGAAUGAGAGUCACAGCCUUGCACUGCGAACGAGUGUGCCAGAACCAGUGUACCGCAGUCGACCACAACCAACCAGCCUCCCAAGUCAGGUACCAGCAGGACAGUCGAAGAGGUGAGGUAAUUAUGAGAAGAAAGUGUUUGGCCAGUAUGACACUACUGUAUAGCACUUGGACGGGACAUGAGGACAAGGAGCUGGGCUAUGAGGACAAAGUGAAGGAACCAUCGAGGAUCGAACGCCGACACUGCAAGAGGCGUCGACUAGGGCAUCGCUCUACCGACCAGCACAAGAGGGACUGUCCUUGACGUAAGCAAUACCUUUGAUGCAGACGCCUCCUUCAUCACGCCUGUUGCAGUUAGUUACCUUACCUUGCGGUGAUCCCGGGGCUCAGCGUCCCCGCGGCCAGGCCUCCUCGUUGCUGGACUGGUCAACCAGGCUGUUGGACGCGGAGUUGGGGCCAUUACCAACGAUCAGCCAACGAUGUGUCAGUGGCAGAAAGUGUUCUCGAUAUAAGUUUACCAGGUUCUUCUACCUCGUUUUCUGCUCCGGUUCUAUACAGUCCUGGAACUACCACGCUGAACAGCAUCCUCAUGAAGAAACUUCCGAUUCUCCAGCUAAAGACGUUCCAGAGGAGACUGUGAUGAUCCAAGAGCACUGACACCAAAUCUCAGCUGAACACCUCGGCCUGCCGUGAUCCACCAAUGAACUACCAACAGACCCAAAGUUUCUUAGGAAAACAUUCGAGAUGCUAGGCUUCCAGCCAGAGGAUGCCAGAAAACGCACUGUUGAUUAAUGACCACUUACAAAUGUACUUGUCUUACCUAUGUA